rnacentral:rRNA from 1 species
UACGUAGGGUGCAAGCGUUGUCCGGAAUUAUUGGGCGUAAAGAGCUCGUAGGCGGUCUGUCGCGUCGGCUGUGAAAACCUGGGGCUCAACCCCGGGCUUGCAGCCGAUACGGGCAGGCUAGAAUUCGGUAGGGGAGACUGGAAUUCCUGGUGUAGCGGUGAAAUGCGCAGAUAUCAGGAGGAACACCGGUGGCGAAGGCGGGUCUCUGGGCCGAUAUUGACGCUGAGGAGCGAAAGCGUGGGGAGCAAACAGG